rnacentral:rRNA from 1 species
UACGUAGGGCGCGAGCGUUGUCCGGAUUUAUUGGGCGUAAAGAGCUCGUAGGCGGCUUGUCGCGUCGACUGUGAAAACCCGUGGCUCAACUGCGGGCCUGCAGUCGAUACGGGCAGGCUAGAGUUCGGUAGGGGAGACUGGAAUUCCUGGUGUAGCGGUGAAAUGCGCAGAUAUCAGGAGGAACACCGGUGGCGAAGGCGGGUCUCUGGGCCGAUACUGACGCUGAGGAGCGAAAGCGUGGGGAGCGAACAGG